AAGCGUGUGUAGGCGGUUCGGAAAGAAAGAUGUGAAAUCCCAGGGCUCAACCUUGGAACUGCAUUUUUAACUGCCGAGCUAGAGUAUGUCAGAGGGGGGUAGAAUUCCACGUGUAGCAGUGAAAUGCGUAGAUAUGUGGAGGAAUACCGAUGGCGAAGGCAGCCCCCUGGGAUAAUACUGACGCUCAGACACGAAAGCGUGGGGAGCAAACAGGAUUAGAUACCCUGGUAGUCCACGCCCUAAACGAUGUCAACUAGCUGUUGGGGCCGUUAGGCCUUAGUAGCGCAGCUAACGCGUGAAGUUGACCGCCUGGGGAGUACGGUCGCAAGAUUAAAACUCAAAGGAAUUGACGGGGACCCGCACAAGCGGUGGAUGAUGUGGAUUAAUUCGAUGCAACGCGAAAACCUUACCUACCUUUGACAUGUCUGGGAAGGCCGAAGAAGAUUUGGCCCGUGCUCGCAAGAAGAACCCGGAACACAGGUGCUGCAUGGCUUGUCGUCAGCUUCGUGUCGUGAGAUGUUGGGUUAAGUCCCGCAACGAGCGCAACCCUUGGCAUUUAGUUGCUUACGCAAGAAGCCACUCUUAUGAGACUGGCCGUGACAAACCGGAGGAAGGUGGGGAUGACGUCAAGUCCUUCAUGGCCCUUUAUGGUAGGGCUUUACACGUAUUACAAUGGUCGGGACAGAGGGACGCCA
rnacentral:rRNA from 1 species